AUGGAAGCAGAACUCACAGCACUAGAUACAGCUACGGUCGAAGCAGAUUGGCUUCGCCGACUCUUGAAUGACUUGCCGGUUGUUGAGAAACCUGUACCGGGUGUCCUUCUGAACUGCGACAAUCAAACUGUGAUCACGAAAGUGAGCAGCUCAAAGGAUAACAUGAAGUCAUCAAGACACGUUCAGAGAAGGUUAAAGUCUGUCAGGAAAAUGAAAAACUCCGGAGUUAUUGCAUUGGAUUAUGUCCAAACGUCUAAAAAUCUGGCAGAUCCUUUUACUAAGGGUCUAUCACGUAAUGUGAUAGAUAAUGCAUCAAGGGAGAUGGGUAUGAGACCCACAAUAUGA
rnacentral:rRNA from 1 species